CCAGUCGGCCACUUGCUGAGAGGUCCACUCUGAUACGCUGUGGUUCUGCCACUGAUGCUGCUUUAUAAUCCACUCGUCUUCUAGGAUCUGGUGACCAAAAAGUCCAAGAGUGUAAAUAGUGCGUUCGAACCUUCUUUUUUUCGUCUGGGGGAUCCUUCUGCACUGGCCAAACCCCCGGGGUCCGCAUCAUAAGAACCCGCACUACGAAUGGAGCCAGAGCGACUAUGGCCUGGACUGCGGCGCCCCUCUGAGACCUGGUGAUGGACAACAAGAGAUGCAACCUUCAAAAAUGGGAGCCAAAGUGUACACAAGAAAAGUACAUAAGAUUUCAAUGGCCGUGGAUUCCACAGUGUGAAGAGAACCAUUUGAAAUCCAGUUAAAGAAAGAUUGGAAGACUCCACCGAGGCAAACGUUUUCCUCCGAUGGCUGCAGACUGAGACAAAAUGAGGCGUCAAAAAAAACAAAACAUGGAGGUCUAAUAAGGACACAGGGGCCAGCUUGCCUUUUUGCUCUGAGCCACAAAACACAGCACGGAUGAGCUGUAAACUUCUUUCGCCCACCCACUGAUGAUCCAAU